GACCUCUAUUUUGAAAGCUCCAUGUUCCAUAGCCUGCCUUCACUCCAUUUAAAAAGGAUAUCAACCAGAUUCAUUUUCCUAUGGCUACCCCAUGGUGUGAACAGUCUUUAGACAUAGUUUCAGGCUUUUAAUUUGAAACAUGAGCGAGAAAGAUCACAUCACGUCAUUGUAUGGCUGGGUAACAGCAGCAUUUUGUAUGCGCAACAGCUUGGAGCAGCCAUUUUCUCUCUCUCUCCUAUUGAAGAAGCUACAUUCCCGGAUGAUAUAUUAUUGAUUAUAUAUUGUAAAAACAACCUGAGGAUUGAUUAUAAAAAACAUUUGAAAUGUUUCUACGAACAUUACGGAUACUAUUUGGAAUGUGGAAUUUGUGUGGAAUUUUCGUCUGUGAUGACGUGACCGCUCGAGAAUGUGGAUUUCUGAACAUAACGCGCCAACCAGAUGGAGAGGACCUGAGCCCUAGGACCAUGCCUCAGGACUACCUGGCAUGAUGACUCCUUGCUGUCCCCAGUCCACCUGGCCGUGCUGCUGCUCCAGUUUCAACUGUUCUGCCUGCGGCUAUGGAACCCUGACCUGUUCACCGGACGUGCUACCUGUCCCAGACCUGCUGUUUUCAACUCCCUAGAAACAGCAGGAGCGGUAGAGAUACUCUUAAUUAUCGGCUAUGAAAAGCAAACUGACAUUUACUCCUGAGGUGCUGACUUGUUGCCCCCUCGACAACUACUGUGAUUAUUAUUAUUUGACCAUGCUGGUCAUUUAUGAACAUUUGAACAUCUUGGCCAUGUUCUGUUAUAAUCUCCACCUGGCACAGCCAGAAGAGGACUGGCCACCCCUCAUAGCCUGGUUCCUCUCUAGGUUUCUUCCUAGGUUUUGGCCUUUCUAGGGAAUUUUUCCUAGCCACCGUGCUUCUACAUCACUGUUGCUUGCUGUUUGUGGUUUUAGGCUGGGUUUCUGUACAGCACUUUGAGAUAUCAGCUGAUGUAGAAGGGCUAUAUAAAGGAAUUUGAUUUGAUUUGAUUUAAGUUUAUCAAUAGAAAAGUCCUGAAAGUGCAAACCCAGUAUACCAGGUAGGCCAAUUUUUUUUUUUUACGUCAGUUAAGAACAAAUUCUUAUUUUCAAUGACAGCAGAACAACAGAACAAUUUUUACCUUGUCAGCUCAGGAAUUUGAUCUUGCAACCUUUCGGUUAUUAGUCCAACGCUCUAACCACUAGGCUACCUGCCGCCCCAGUCAUGAAUGAACAGGGAGUACAGGAGAGGACUGAGUAAGUAAGUACACCUGUUGUGUUUGGUGCAUGUGACACAAUUUUUAUAUAUUUUUUUAUUUGAAUGGAAGACUCUCCAAAAACAUCCAGGUAGAAUCAGGAAUUCUCCAGGGCAGCGUCUUACUUUUUUCAAUCUUUACUAACAACAUGUCACUGACUUUGAGUAAAGCCAGAAUGUCUAUGUAUGCAGAUGAAACGCUACACGUCAGCUACUACUGUGACUGAAAUGACAGCAACACUUAACAAAGAGCUGCAGUUAGUUUCAGACUGCUUGGCAAGGAUUAAGUUAGUCCUACCUAAAUAUUUAAAAAACUAAAAGCAUUGUAUUUGGGACAAAUCAUUUACUAAACCCUAAGUUGUAAACUCUCAUGGUAAAAACAUUUUGAUACAACAGUAACUAGGAUGGGGAGAAGUCUGUCCAUAAUAAAGCGUUGCUCUGCAUUCUCAAAAACACUAUCAACAAGGCAGGUCCUACAGACCCUAGUUUUGUCGCACCUGGGCUACUGUUCAGUCGUGUGGUCAGGUGCCACAAAGAGGGACUUAGGAAAAUAGCAAUUGGCUAUUGGAUGUACACAGAGAGCUAGCAUUAAUAAUGUGCAUGUCAAUCUCUCCUGGCUCAAAGUGGAGGAGAGAUUGACCUCAUCACUACUUGUAUAUGUGAGAGGUAUUCAUUGACAUGUUGAAUAUACCUAGCUGUCUGUUUAAACUACUGGCACCGAUGCAUACCCCACAAUACAUGCCACCAGAGGUCUCUACAUAGUCCCCAAGUCCAGAACAGAAUCCAGAACAGAGUAUGGGAGGCGCACAGUAUUACAUAGAGCCAUGACUACAUGGAACUCUAUUCAACAUCAAGUAACUCAUAUAAGCAGUAAUAUUAGAUUUUAAAAACAUAUUUUUUUAAAGAUCCUACUAAAGAGCAUUCUCUAGUGUAGCCAAGGAUGGAGAGGAAUGAGGGACUGAGGGAGAGGUAUGGAGAGUGUGAACAGAAGUGGCUGAGGGGGUUAGGUGACUUUAUGACACCAAUGCGGCCAUCACAGUGGGGCACCCAUUUCAGACACCAGGGCACCAACAAUAGCACAACAGGACCGGGCCAGAACACAAGUUAGCUCAGAAACAGCGUACCACACGCAUGCAGGCACGCAUACACCCGGGUCUCCUGCUGCCACAAUACUGUGAUAGCCCGCUAAACUGAAGCCUAGACAUUAUCUUGGUAAGCCAAUACAAGUCUAACCGCGCCAGGUUACUCAUCAAGUGUGUUUCUGAAGCAUAUCUUUUACAUACACACACGUCAUACCCAAGAAGACUCGAGAAUGUAAUCUCUGUCAAAGGCACUUCAACAGAGUACUGAGUAAAAGGUCUGAAAUCUUACGUAAAUGUAAUAUUUAUGUUUUUUUAUUUUGAAUAAAUUUGCAAAAAAAAAUAAAAA
ensembl:lncRNA